UUAGUUGCCAGCAAGUAGCGUUUGGGCACUCUAGCCAGACUGCCGGUGAUAAAUCGGAGGAAGGUGGGGACGACGUCAAAUCAUCAUGCCCUUUAUGUCCUGGGCUACACACGUACUACAAUGGCCGUUACAACGGGAAGCGAAGGAGCAAUCCGGAGCAAAUCCCUUAAAGGCGGUCCCAGUUCAGAUUGUGGGCUGAAACUCGCCCACAUGAAGGCGGAAUUGCUAGUAAUUGCAGAUCAGCAUGCUGCAGUGAAUACGUUCCCGGGCCUU
rnacentral:rRNA from 1 species